rnacentral:SRP_RNA from 2 species
GCCGGGUGUGUUGGCUCAUGCCUGUAAUCCCAGCACUUUGGGAGGCCGAGGCAGGUGGAUCACCUGAGGUCAGGAGUUCAAGACCAGCCUGACCAACAUGGUGAAACCCUGUCUCUA